rnacentral:piRNA from 1 species
UAAAUUUAGUGAUAUGUAAAA